rnacentral:lncRNA from 1 species
GCGCACCCACCCUCUUACCUCCUCUACACACCCCCACCACACCCAUCUUCUUCCCCAUCUUCAUCUUCUCCGCAACCUAGAAAAAAAAAAAAAAACACCCUUUAAGUUCAUCUUCCCCCCUGCAACCCAGCCCAGCCCACCCCCUGCAAUCAUCUUCCUCAUCCCCAUCCCCAGCCGCAUUACUUCUUCUCCCUCCCUUCAUCUAAAAGCCUACAAAACCCUAAUUUUUCCCCCAAAUCGACUGCUCUACUCAGAAGACGACUCCCGCCGCCAUGGCCGUUGUCAAUAGAUUCGAAUGCACUAGCUACUGCGGCUGCAGAGGCUCCAGAUCCACCUUGAAAUGCCUCUCAAGUAAAUAUCCGAUAAAACCAAAAAUCCAAUUUCAAUAAAAGAAAAUAAAUUUUGGAUUGUUGUAAUUUUCCAAGAAAAUUCAAACAAAUUUCCAAAAUAAUUACAUAAAUUUUCAAAAAUCAAUAAAAAGAACAAAGGGUUUCUGUAAUUUUCCAAAAAGGCAGAUCUUUCAUACCUUGAUUUGGAGAAGACAACGGCUGGGGGGGGCGUUUCUAAUGAAUUUGUCGUGCCUCAUCGAUGCAAGCAAGAAAGUGUGGUUAUAGAAAACGAGGGAAUGGGCGAGCUGAAAGAGGGUGAGUCAUGUUGCCCAGAAACCCAGUGAAGUGUGCCGGGUCUUCGACAUCCUCCUUCUUUUCUUCGACUUCUUCUUCUUCAACUACUUCCUGUGCUGGUUGAUUUGGGGUUUGGGUAUGACCUGUUGUUGCUUUUUGGAGGGUUUGGUGGAGCUGAGCUUUCUCUUUUUCGCCAUUAUAGGAGGGGGAGCAAGGCGUCGUGGAUAAAGGGAAUAGGUGGGGCCGUGGGGGUGGGG